UGUGGGCAGGGCCCGGGGGAGCUGAGGCUCUGGGGGUGGCCGGGGCUAACCCUGGGCCUAACCCUGGGCCUCUGCUCCCCAGUGUCUGACCGCG
rnacentral:pre_miRNA from 1 species